AAGACUCUAAUAUUUUCUCUAUUGUACAAACACGAAAGCAUGAAUUUUAAGUCCCUCCCUCUAUGUUUCUUGCUUAUGAGAUCAACGUAUAAGUAAAGUAAGGUGUGUCAUCAGAAGGUAGAUUCUCAUACACCAAAACAAAGACUCUAAUAUUUUCUCUAUUGUACAAACACGAAAGCAUGAAUUUUAAGUCCCUCCCUCUAUGUUUCUUGCUUAUGAGAUCAGCGAACAGGUAAAGUAAGGUGUGUCAUCAGAAGGUAGAUUCUCAUACACCAAAACAAAGACUAAUAUUUUCUCUAUCGUACAAACACAAACACGUCAAUUUAAAGUCCCUUCCUCUCUGUUUCUUGCUUAUGAGACCAAUGUACAGGUAAAGUAAGGUGUGUCAUCAGAAGGUAGAUUCUCAUACACCAAAACAAACUCUAAUAUUUUCUCUAUCGCACAAACACAAACAUGUCAAUUUUAAGUCCCUUCCUCUAUGUUUCUUGCUUAUGAGACCAAUGUACAGGUAAAGUAAGGUGUGUCAUCAGAAGGUAGAUUCUCAUACACCAAAACAAAGACUCUAAUAUUUUCUCUAUCGUACAAACACGAAAGCAUGAAUUUAAAGUCCCUCCCUCUAUGUUUCUUGCUUAUGAGACCAAUGUACAGGUAAAGUAAGGUGUGUCAUCAGAAGGUAGAUUCUCAUACACCAAAACAAAGACUAAUAUUUUCUCUAUCAUACAAACACAAACACGUCAAUUUUAAGUCCCUUCCUCUAUGUUUCUUGCUUAUGAGACCAAUGUACAGGUAAAGUAAGGUGUCAUCAGAAGGUAUAUUCUCAUUCACCAAAACAAAGACUAAUAUUUUCUCUAUCAUACAAACACAAACACGUCAAUUUUAAGUCCCUUCCUCUAUGUUUCUUGCUUAUGAGACCAAUGUACAGGUAAAGUAAGGUGUGUCAUCAGAAGGUAGAUUCUCAUACACCAAAACAAAGACUAAUAUUUUCUCUAUCAUACAAACACAAACACAUCAAUUUUAAGUCCCUUCCUCUGUGUUUCUUGCUUAUGAGAUCAACAAACAGGUAAAGUGAGGUAAGAAGUUAGAUUCUCAUACACCAAAACAAAGACUAAUAUUUUCUCUAUCAUACAAACACAAACACGUCAAUUUAAAGUCCCUUCCUCUAUGUUUCUUGCUUAUGAGACCAACGAACAGGUAAAGUAAGGUGUGUCAUCAGGAGGAGCAUAAUACCAUAAGAUUGCCAUACACCAAAAACAAGGACUCAAUACAACAUUUUUCUCUAUCACAUAAACACAAACGCAUGAAUUCAACAGACCGUUUCUCUGCCGCUGUUUCUUAUGUGAUCAAUAAAGAGGUGUUAUGAGGUGCACAUCGGAGGAGGCACACUGAUGGAUUGGUGUAUACAUAAUUUAUCUCAUCAAUAGUUCACCUGUAUUGAUUUGUCCUCGGAAACACACACACACACACACACACACAUUUUCAGUCUGGUCGUCAAUAUGGGAGUGUGAGUUGAAUGCCCUGGGUGUGGGAAUGCUGCCUAACCAACAGCAGCGAGUAGCGGGCUUUUUUUUUUUAUUAAUGUUUACUUUUUUGUGCCCUUGAGCUGUCUCCUUUGCUGUAAAAAAAAAAAAAAAAAAAAAAA